rnacentral:rRNA from 1 species
CCUACGGGAGGCAGCAGUGAGGAAUAUUGGUCAAUGGACGAGAGUCUGAACCAGCCAAGUAGCGUGAAGGAUGACUGCCCUAUGGGUUGUAAACUUCUUUUAUAAAGGAAUAAAACGAGGCACGUAUGCCUUUUUGCACGUACUUUAUGAAUAAGGACCGGCUAACUCCGUGCCAGCAGCCGCGGUAAUACGGAGGAUCCGAGCGUUAUCCGGAUUGAUUGGGUUUAAAGGGAGCGUAGAUGGGUUGUUAAGUCAGAUGUGAAAGUUUGCGGCUCAACCGUAAAAUUGCAAUUGAUACUGGCAGUCUUGAGUACAGUAGAGGUAGGCGGAAUUCGUGGUGUAGCGGUGAAAUGCUUAGAUAUCACGAAGAACCCCGAUUGCGAAGGCAGCUUACUAAACUGUGACUGACAUUGAUGCUCGAAAGUGUGGGUAUCAAACAGGAUUAGAUACCCUUGUAGUC